rnacentral:rRNA from 1 species
UCAGCCUGCCCAGUGACAAGUUCAACGGCCACGGUAUCCUAACCGUGCGAAGGUAGCAUAAUCACUUGUUCUUUAAAUGGGGACUCGUAUCAACGGCACCACGAGGGUUAUACUGUCUCCUUUUUCUAAUCAGUGAAAUUAAUCUCCCCGUGAAGAAGCGGGGAUACCCCUAUAAGACGAGAAGACCCCAUGGAGCUUCAAACCCAACUACACCCCUAGUUUCUAUAACUCUCAACCCCCAGGGCCCUGUACAGUUGGUUUUAGGUUGGGGCGACCACGGAGUACAACAAAACCUCCACAAUGAAUGGGACCACCCCCCAUCUAAGAGCUACAACCCUAAGAAUUAGAACACUAACAUAAAAUGAUCCAUUAUUUGAUCAAUGAACCAAGUUACCCUGGGGAUAACAGCGCAAUCCAUUUCAAGAGCCCCUAUCGACAAAUGGGUUUACGACCUCGAUGUUGGAUCAGGGUGUCCUAGUGGUGCAGCAGCUACUGACGGUUCGUUUGUUCAACGAUUAAAACCCU